rnacentral:ncRNA from 1 species
UAUCAUUCAUUGUUGCAAAAAAAAAUCAUAAUAUAAUUAGAGAGUAAUCGUACAGCUACCAGAAGGAGUGGGUCUGUGGAAGAGGAAACCCUAUUUUCUAAGUCAGGCCUGAUUUGCACAAUCUGAAGUAAAUACCAGGGCUUACUCUCUCUUCCUGUACAAUUUUUUUUUGUAUUUGAUCAUAGUUUUUAAUUUUCCCUUCUAUUGGUUUCAUUGAGAUAAGAAUGCCAAUUCCAGGAUUGGUAUAAUUUUUCCUCCACUCAGAUGGUAGUUCCGACCAUAAAUGAUGCCGACUAGCGAUCUGGCGGCGUUAUUCCCAUGACCUGCCGAGCAGCUUCCGGGAAACCAAAGUCUUUGGAUUCCGGGGGGAGUAUGGUUGCAAAGCUGAAACUUAAAGGAAUGGUACAUUGAUGGGACAAGAAGAUCCAUU